CCUAUAAAUGUUGAAACACUACCCUCUCAACCAGGCCAUCUGAAAGGGGCAAACGAAUCUGGGUCGUCCAAUCAGGUUGCAACAGUAAAAUCAGCAUCCCACUUCUCACCUCAGCCGUCGGAUGCAGUAAUUUUUCUUUCACUUCUUGCUUAUCUGGAUGACUCCAUGACGGUUGGGCCCAUGUGCGUGCGGGGCCGGUGUUUCAGCGAGCGAUCCAGCAUAAUGACCACGUCCGUUUUGCAUACGCCGUCCGCGUCGCGCCCAUGUCCCGCGGUGAAACCUAGAUCUCGAUUCGUGAAAAUAUCUGGCCGGUGUCUCCUCUCUCUCUCUCGUCUCCGCCUCCCCACUCCUGCCCCGAGGCGCCUCCCGCUCCUCUCAUCUCUGCGGCUCCGCCGCAGGAAGAGCGGCGCCCUAGCGACCGCGGCGGAUGGACGCGGGGGCCAUCGGUGGCAGGGAGCGUGCUCCGCGGCGGCUGGACACGGGGCCGGUGACGGCAUCGUCUGGAUGCGACGGCGGCUGCGGCGAUGCUGGCCGCGGCGGCGAUGCUGGCCGCGGCGGACGCGAAGGAGGAGUCGCGCCUGGCCGAGGUCGGGCGGGAGGAGGCGGCGCGGCAGCGGGCGGCGGACGGGGGUCACCGUGCUGCGGGAGGCCAGGUGUGCCGCGGUGCAGCAGCGCAAGCGCCUCCACCCGACCCGUAGCGAGCUGCACCGGCCGCCCCACGCCCCCACCCGAGGCGGAGAGGCUAGCGGCGAGUGGUGUGGAGCUGCAUGUGAGAGGAAGGAGCAAGGGUUGGGUGUCCCUUCUUCUUGUCCUCCACGACCUUGGGUUGCAAGGAGCCAACUCGGGGAGGACUCGAGGCUCAGUGGCGUUCCUUACGGCCGCCCGGGAUCCCCUCUCCUUCAUUUAAUCCAUCUGGAGAUGAGGUCCACAUCUAAUUUUAGAGAAAUCGCGGUUCGAGCUGCGCUGGGAAGGUCUCUACUCAGCUGCGCUUCUUCCUUGCCCAGGCGUUUGCUGAUUUCUCUGAAUAUUGUUUGGACAUUGCCCAUGUAGCACUCACCCAAGUGUGUAUUGUGCUAAUAUCUACCAUGACAUGACGGGCGGAAGUCCCGGAGGAGGGUGACGGAUGGCCACGGUAGCUCGCAGCAGGACGACGAUGCAGGAGGGCGCAUGGAGCAGGGUGGCCCUUGCCUUGAGGAGCUCGUCCAUGAUCCAAUACCCAGGCGAUGGAAACGUCUAUGCAUGGUCUUUUUGGUCAUGUCGAACCCUUCUGUUGGAUAUGGAGGCCGACAAGCAACUAUCUUCUUGGCCUUCUUGUGGUGUAUUGAAUAGCAGAGUCACUGCAUCGAGUGACCGCCACUAAUGUAGUUCAAAUAUUCUGCUUAUGAUGCAGUGAGAUAAUAUGCUAGGUACCCUUCCUGUCGCCACUGCGCCAGAAUGACACUACCUCCACCAAGUAGCAGGUUUCAACAAAUGGUUCUUCUGGGUAACCAUCUCAUUGAAAUGAGGGAGCAUGAGAGGCGUGUGGUCACCACCUGCAUAUCCAACCAAAUUGUUCAGUGGAAGUAUGAAUCAGGCUGGGAGUGUUGGUACUCUCAGAACAAGGGCAAAUCUCUACUCUGUACAAUUUCAACCUGAUUCUCCCUCGCUCCAUUGCAAUUGGCUUAGCUGACCACAAUAUUUAAUAAUACGAUCUUCCCAACAUAUGAGUCCCUUAUUGUAUAUUAGCGGGACACACAAAAAUUGUUAGCUAUGCUGAGUAUUUAGAUGCAUCAACCAUAGUAUCUGGUUUUCCACUGAAUUAUUUACUUAUCCUACCAGUAUACAUAUACAACCAUGUGGUAUAAAUAAGAUAAUUAAGCUAUCUAAUUGUGUGCUUCAAUCUUUCCUUUUUAUCUAUUAAUUAUUAGAUAGGCUAAGUACAUAAUUUAAGACCAUAGGUUGGUGUUUUAGAUUAAGGGUUGGUGAUUAGCAGCAUGUGUUUAGGUGAAGAGCAUCUCGGGAUCACUCUUUACAUUUUUAUCGUCUGCAUUCACCAUUGUGCACGUAUAUAUGUUGUUUUUGAGAGAUACAUUUUGCUUGUGUGAUAUCAUUCUUGAGAAAAAAUUACAGUGCAUUGUUCUGCUACAUGUUUGGUGUUUCGCCUUACUGCCUUAGUAAGAAACUAUUUCUCAAGCAGAGGAAUACAAUUAUAUUGCCUAUUUGCCUUCUUCCAGUUUCAUUUAGCUUGCAAUAUAUGCACCAUACCAUUUCUUGUGGAAGUUGUUCUGCUACAUAGAUAGGUGUUAUUGGUGCCUGAUGAUGCACGAUAUAUUAACUAUGCCAAUGCCUCUAACCUACUAUAGCUCUAUAGAAAUUAGAAAUCUCCUAUGCAAAUGAUUCAGGUUGCCAUGGCGUGCCUCUCCUAUGCAAAUCUCACUUGUAGUACCAAAGAGAAAUUUAAAUAAGAUGGCUUCUCUACGUGUUUUUCUCCGAGUUAGAUAAAUGAAAUCAUAAGAUAGAAAAAUGUGGGUCCCUCUAUUCAGGUACAAUACCUUGGUUCAAACUAUACUAAAUUCUUUGCUUUCCACUAAAGUUAAAUUCAUCGCAUACAUGUUUUUCAUUUCAAAUACAUCUCAAAUUCAUCCCAUAAGCGAAUGAUUUCAAAUUUACUCCUUUUUCACCCUUGAAGUCAAUUGUUUCGUAAAUAUGGGAUAUCGGCUCCUUUUCAUCCUUGAAGUCAAUUGUUUAAUGUUUCGAAAAGGUCCUGAAGUACAUGAGGAAGACCGGUUAGUGGCUGACUGGCUGCUCUGAUGAAAGCAUAUGGAAGAACCAAACUGUACUGAAGCUGAGGCCAUAUUUGGACUGAAAAGCCUGGUGGACAAGGAGGACGUCGAGAACCCUCUGUACAUGAGGGACAUUGAUCACAUGGGACAAGAAAAACAGACAGAUUGUCAGCUUACUGGUUGUUCUUUAUGCUAGCUGAUUAGAAUUGUUCAUAAUGAUGCUCUGGUUAAUCUCCUCGCUGAUUACUCUAAUGUUGAUGCUCUAUUAUUAUAUUUAGAUAUGCAACAAAAGCUAUUGUGUUUCUGCCAUGCUUUAUCAUGCAAAGUUUAACUCCUUUUAAAAAUCUUUUGCCCAUUAACCAAAUGAAUGGGUUUUAGUUUGCAGCAAAAAAAAAGAAUAUACAAAAUGAAUGGGUUCAUAAACAAGGACCAUCAACUGAUAUAGUCAAAAACCAAAAGCAAAAGCCAUCAUUAUAAGGAUAUUGAGUCUGACUAAUUUUGUUGCUUGGUUCGCAGCCGGCUAUUUCUGUGUGCAGCGCCAUGAGUUGACAAGAGGAGCGUCGGCUCAAGGCGUCUACAGCCACGGAUUAACUCAAGUACUUAAUAUGCUUAGACUAUAUGGCUACUCUUAAUAACUACUGUUAUGUAGAAGGCCUAUAUGUGAUCUUCCUGUUAUAGAAAAGGUGGUUACUGCAUAUGUAGCUCUGUGCUAAAUCAUUUAGGCCAGAACCAUUUUCUGCCUAUAUGUGAUCUUCCUGUUAGGGACGCAUUAGCAUGUUGUCUGGAGUUACGAGGGUAACUAUUUACUGCCUUGGGAUGGAUUUCUUUUGCUCUGACAAACUGCCACUUUAAGUGAUUUCAGUGUGCCAAAUUUUGUAGCACUGUCGCUUGCCAGCAUAGAAAGAAGGCGAUCGAUAGCUUGCAGGGGAAGAUGUGGAUGUGAUCUAAUCUUGACAUCUUGUUCGCUUGUCUGAUGUUUGAGCUUGUAGUUUCUACCAUUGCAUACAUCAUUGAGUUACGAAAAUCCAUGGUGAGUGCACCUAUCUUGUGAUGUUGCCAGCGGCAAGGUGAGCCAUGCUGCUGAAGGUUUAUGGACAUCCAAGCCUUUAGCUUUGUGCUGAUCAUAAGUCACUGCAUUUCUAGUGGGCCAUGCUGCUGAAGCUUUAGCCCUCAAAAGAAGAUUUAAAGAGGCUGCACAUGUUCAAUGUCAGUUGCUGCUGCUGGGCGAGCUGUUACAGUCACACUGAGGCUGACGCCGAACAAUGCUUUGCAUUUCUGGGGAAUCAUCUCAUUUAGACGACGUAAGAAACAAGCUCUGAAACAAGACAUGGACAUGUAAUGAACCAGGCGGUCUUAGUCAUUUUAGUUCUCGCUGGCAUUUUAAUAUGCACUUCUAAUGAGUUCGUGUAACCUGCACUUUCUGUUGGCAUCGGUUUCAGAUGUUUGUAUACCGACUUGUUAGAGUACUAUAAUCUACAUUUAAUUUCCUUUCAUGUACUUCAAUUUACAAUCAGAACUUUAAAUAUAUGUGAUGCUUCUGGUACAAACCAUUCGAUUUA